AUUGAACGCUGGCGGCAGGCCUAACACAUGCAAGUCGAACGAGUGGCGGACGGGUGAGUAAUGUCUGGGAAACUGCCCGAUGGAGGGGGAUAACUACUGGAAACGGUAGCUAAUACCGCAUACCAUCGGAUGUGCCCAGAUGGGAUUAGCUUGUAGGUGAGGUAACGGCUCACCUAGGCGACGAUCCCUAGCUGGUCUGAGAGGAUGAACAGACACACGUGAACGUAGAGACGGUCCAGAGGCCGACGCGAGGCAGCAGUGGGGAAUAUUGCACAAUGGGCGCAAGCAUGAGGCAGCGAGGACGCGGGUAGGAAGAAGGCCUUCGGGUUGUUAAGUACUUGCAGCGGGGAGGCGUUACCCGCAGAAGAAGCACCGGCUAACGCCGUGCCAGCAGCCGCGGUAAUAC
rnacentral:rRNA from 1 species